AGCGCACACGGUGGAUGCCUUGGCGGUCAGAGGCGAUGAAGGACGUGGCAGCCUGCGAAAAGUAUCGGGGAGCUGGCAACAAGCUUUGAUCCGGUAAUGUCCGAAUGGGGAAACCCACCCGCUUGCGGGUAUCCUGCAGUGAAUACAUAGCUGCUGGAAGCGAACCUGGUGAACUGAAAUAUCUAAGUAACCAGAGGAAAAGAAAUCAACCGAGAUUCCGUAAGUAGCGACGAGCGAACGCGGACUAGCCCUUAAGCUGGAUUGGUUCUAGGAAAACGCUCUGGAAAGAGCGGCCAUAGAAGGUGAUAGCCCUGUAUCUGAAAGGGCCAUUCCAGUGAAGACGAGUAGGGCGGGGCACGUGAAACCCUGUCUGAACAUGGGGGGACCAUCCUCCAAGGCUAAAUACUACUGACCGACCGAUAGUGAACCAGUACCGUGAGGGAAAGGCGAAAAGAACCCCGGAGAGGGGAGUGAAAUAGAACCUGAAACCGUGUGCGUACAAGCAGUAGGAGCUCCGCAAGGAGUGACUGCGUACCUUUUGUAUAAUGGGUCAGCGACUUACUGUUCGUGGCAAGCUUAACCGUAUAGGGGAGGCGAAGGGAAACCGAGUCUGAUAAGGGCGCAUAGUCGCGGGCAGUAGACCCGAAACCGGGUGAUCUAGUCAUGCCCAGGGUGAAGGUGCGGUAACACGCACUGGAGGCCCGAACCCACUCCCGUUGCAAAGGUAGGGGAUGAGGUGUGAUUAGGAGUGAAAAGCUAAUCGAACCCGGAGAUAGCUGGUUCUCCUCGAAAGCUAUUUAGGUAGCGCCUCAUAUGUAUCCUCUCGGGGGUAGAGCACUGUUAUGGCUAGGGGGUCAUCGCGACUUACCAAACCAUUGCAAACUCCGAAUACCGAGACGGACUGUAUGGGAGACACACGGCGGGUGCUAACGUCCGUCGUGAAAAGGGAAACAACCCAGACCCACAGCUAAGGUCCCAAAUUCACUGCUAAGUGGAAAACCAUGUGGAAAGGCACAGACAGCCAGGAGGUUGGCUUAGAAGCAGCCACCCUUUAAAGAAAGCGUAAUAGCUCACUGGUCGAGUCGGUCUGCGGGGAAGAUUUAACGGGGCUAAGCAGUGAACCGAAGCUUGGGGUGCAUACUUUGUAUGCGCGGUAGAGGAGCGUUCCGUAAGCCGUUGAAGGUGGAUUGAGAAGUCUGCUGGAGGUAUCGGAAGUGCGAAUGCUGACAUGAGUAACGAUAAUGCGGGUGAAAAACCCGCACGCCGAAAGCCCAAGGUUUCCUUGCGCAACGUUAAUCGGCGCAGGGUGAGUCGGCCCCUAAGGCGAGGACGAAAGUCGUAGUCGAUGGGAAGCAGGUUAAUAUUCCUGCACCUCGCGUAAGUGCGAUGGAGGGACGGAGAAGGUUAGGUGUACCAGGCGUUGGUUGUCCUGGGGAAAGGCGGUAGGUUUGGAUCUUUGGCAAAUCCGGGAUCCUCUAAGACCGAGCACCGAGACGAGCCUUUAUGGCGAAGUCACUGAUACCACGCUUCCAGGAAAAGCUCCUAAGCUUCAGCUUACGCAGACCGUACCGUAAACCGACACAGGUGGGUAGGAUGAGAAUUCUCAGGCGCUUGAGAGAACUCGGGUGAAGGAACUAGGCAACAUGGCACCGUAACUUCGGGAGAAGGUGCACCCUUUUUGGUGGCUCGUGCGAGCUAUAGCUGAAGAGGGUCGCAGUAACCAGGCCGCUGCGACUGUUUAUCAAAAACACAGCACUCUGCAAACACGAAAGUGGACGUAUAGGGUGUGACGCCUGCCCGGUGCUGGAAGGUUAAUUGAUGGGGUCAGCCGCAAGGCGAAGCUCUUGAUCGAAGCCCCAGUAAACGGCGGCCGUAACUAUAACGGUCCUAAGGUAGCGAAAUUCCUUGUCGGGUAAGUUCCGACCUGCACGAAUGGCGUAACGACAGCGGCGCUGUCUCCACCCGAGACUCAGUGAAAUUGAAAUCGCUGUGAAGAUGCAGCGUUCCCGUGGCAAGACGGAAAGACCCCGUGAACCUUUACUAUAGCUUUACACUGAACGUUGAGUUCGUCUGUGUAGGAUAGGUGGGAGGCUAUGAAACCAUGGCGCUAGCUGUGGCGGAGCCAUCCUUGAAAUACCACCCUGUCGUGCUUGACGUUCUAACCUGGGCCCAUUAUCUGGGUCGGGGACCGUGUAUGGUGGGUAGUUUGACUGGGGCGGUCUCCUCCUAAAGAGUAACGGAGGAGCUCGAAGGUACGCUCAGCGCGGUCGGACAUCGCGCACUGUGUGCAAAGGCAUAAGCGUGCUUGACUGCAAGAUCGACGGAUCAAGCAGGUAGGAAACUAGGACUUAGUGAUCCGGUGGUUCUGUAUGGAAGGGCCAUCGCUCAACGGAUAAAAGGUACUCCGGGGAUAACAGGCUGAUACCGCCCAAGAGUUCAUAUCGACGGCGGUGUUUGGCACCUCGAUGUCGGCUCAUCACAUCCUGGGGCUGUAGUCGGUCCCAAGGGUAUGGCUGUUCGCCAUUUAAAGUGGUACGCGAGCUGGGUUCAGAACGUCGUGAGACAGUUCGGUCCCUAUCUGCCAUGGGCGUUGGAGAUUUGAGAGGGGCUGCUCCUAGUACGAGAGGACCGGAGUGGACGAACCUCUGGUGUUCCGGUUGUCACGCCAGUGGCAUUGCCGGGUAGCUAUGUUCGGAAGCGAUAACCGCUGAAAGCAUCUAAGCGGGAAGCGCGCCUCAAGAUGAGAUCUCCCGGGGCACAAGCCCCCUGAAGGAACCAUGUAGACUACGUGGUUGA
rnacentral:rRNA from 1 species